rfam:Picea glauca, whole genome shotgun sequence.
ACAAUGGUGUCUUUAGACACCACCUCUUCUUGGCAUGUAUAACUCAU